rnacentral:rRNA from 1 species
AGCGAACGCUGGCGGCAGGCCUAACACAUGCAAGUCGAGCGCGUGUAGCAAUACACGAGCGGCAGACGGGAGAGUAACACGUGGGAACGUACCCUUCAGUUCGGAACAACCAAGGGAAACUUUGGCUAGUACCGGAUACGUCCGUAAGGAGAAAGAUUUAUCGCUGAAGGAUCGGCCCGCGUCUGAUUAGCUAGUUGGUGAGGUAACGGCUCACCAAGGCGACGAUCAGUAGCUGGUCUGAGAGGAUGAUCAGCCUCACUGGGACUGAGACACGGCCCAGACUCCUACGGGAGGCAGCAGUGGGGAAUAUUGGACAAUGGGCGCAAGCCUGAUCCAGCCAUGCCGCGUGGGUGAUGAAGG